CCUACGGGUGGCAGCAGUGGGGAAUUUUCGUCAAUGGGCGCAAGCCUGAACGAGCGAUGCCGCGUGAGUGAAGAAGGCCUUCGGGUCGUAAAGCUCUUUUGCGGGGGACAAAAGUCAGCAUCAGGACAUGAGUGCUGACUGAUGGUGCCCCGCCAGAAAGUCACGGCUAACUACGUGCCAGCAGCCGCGGUAAUACGUAGGGGGCGAGCGUUAUCCGGAAUGAUUGGGCGUAAGGGGAGCGCAGGCGGUCCUGCAAGUCUGGAGUGAAACGCAUGGGCUCAACCCAUGCAUGGCUUUUGAAACUAGAGAACUGGAGAGCAGGAGAGGGCGGUGGAACUCCAAGUGUAGCGGUAAAAUGCGUAGAUAUAUGGAAGAACACCAGUGGCGAAGGCGGCCGCCUGGCCAGUUGCUGACGCUGAGGCACGAAAGCGUGGGGAGCAAAUAGGAUUAGAUACCCGAGUAGUC
rnacentral:rRNA from 1 species